AUGCAAUCUUAUGAAGAAAAACUUGAAUUAGAAGUUUCUAUCCCUAGAAAACUUUAUGAUGAGUGGAAACCUACAAUAAAAAUUAAAAUAAAAUAUCAUGAAUGCUAUGCUUUGUGUGAUUUGGGUGCUAGUGUUUCCACGAUUCCAAAAACUUCAUGUGAUAUACUUGGUUUCCGCGAAUUUGAUGAUUGCUCUUUAAACUUGCACCUUGCAGAUUCCACAAUUAAGAAACCUAUGGGAAGGAUUAAUGAUGUUCUUACUGUUGCAAAUAGGAAUUAUGUGCCCGUAGAUUUUAUCGUUCUUGAUAUAGAUUGCAACCUUUCAUGUCCUAUUAUUGUUGGUAGGCCUUUCCUUAGAACGAUUGGUGCAAUUAUUGAUAUGAAGGAAGGAAAUAAUAGAUUACCAUUUCCGUUAAGGAAAGGCAUGGAAUACUUUCCUAGAAAGAAAAUUAAAUUACCUUAUGAAUCUAUUAUGCGAGCCACUUAUGAAUUGAAUGCCAAAGAUGGCAAUACUUAG
rnacentral:rRNA from 1 species